rnacentral:rRNA from 1 species
GACGAACGCUGGCGGCGUGCUUAACACAUGCAAGUCGAACGGAAAGGCCCUGCUUUUGUGGGGUGCUCGAGUGGCGAACGGGUGAGUAACACGUGAGUAACCUGCCCUUGACUUUGGGAUAACUUCAGGAAACUGGGGCUAAUACCGGAUAGGAGCUCCUGCUGCAUGGUGGGGGUUGGAAAGUUUCGGCGGUUGGGGAUGGACUCGCGGCUUAUCAGCUUGUUGGUGGGGUAGUGGCUUACCAAGGCUUUGACGGGUAGCCGGCCUGAGAGGGUGACCGGCGACUUUGGGACUGGAGUUCGGCCCUGGCACCUACGGGAGGCAGCGGUGGGGAAUGUUGCACAAUGGGCGGAAGCCUGUUGCAGCAACGCCGCGUGCGGGAUAGCGGCCUUCGUGUUGUAAACCGCUUUCGCCUGUGACGAAGCGUGAGUGACGGUAAUGGGUAAAGAAGCACCGGCUAACUACGUG